GAUGAAGGCGUGGGAGGUCAUGAGGGUCUGCGGUGCACGUUCGCCACGGUGGCGGUGGCCAAGGUGCAGGCCAAGGAGCGGCUGCCCAUGAUCUGCUGCCCCGGAACUUCGUGCUCUACCAGUACCAGGCGUGCCCCUUAUGCAACAAGGUCAUAGGUGAGAUUGCGCUCCCAUCUCGCAUUUUUCGAUUCGGGGCGCGGCUCUGUAGAAAUGGCUUCCUUGAGAUCCCGUUGCACUGGCAGAUCCGAUUAGCGUUGGCACGGUCUUAGAAUCUACAAUUCUGUGGUGUAUUAGGUUAGAUUUAUAUGUUGGUUAGAACAAUUUGUUCUCAUGGGUCAAAUUAGACUAAAAUCACUAGCUUUGCCCCUGUUUCCGUGACCUUACCAUACCUGUAUGUCUAUUGCGUUAAUUCUUGUCUUGGAUUACUGAUUAGCAGCAGGCGUUUCAGAUGUAGUGGGGUUGUGUCGUGGGUACCUGGAUAACUAAAAUUGCUUCUGUUCUGUAACUGUAUGCUUCUAGGAAUGUCACAUUGCAACAUGCAGACUAUGGGUCUAGAUCUGGCAGUUGAAAGUGCUUAAUCUUUCUAUAAGUUUCAACUGAAGCUAUUUGUAUACAAUAAUUUACCGAAUAAGCAAACUUAUGUGAAUAUACUACGCUUGAUGUUGAUCAUCUGGUGCAUUAGUAUGCAGUUCUCAUUGUCAGUUCUUGUUUUCUUGAUUCAUUUAUACUAUAUGAUUCAGGUUUUAUACUUUGCCAGUAGGUAGUUCUUUUUUUGUAGGGAGCUAUGCUUAUCAUCAGAAACUCUUGGUGAUGAUGUUAUUCCAAUUUUGGUUCAUGUGUUGCAAUUAUAUACCACAUAAUUCUACACCAUGUGGUGGACUUAAGUAUCUUAGUGACUUCAUUUGAUGUGUGUAUUUCUGUUAAUUUUAAGCUUCUGUUACUGUGAAAAUGUACCUCACUGACCGUCUGUCUAUUUAUUGUGUGCUUCUUGCAUGAGGAGGUGACUAGUGAUGCGGCACGCCAAGCAGCAGUAGGGGAAGGGGGUCUCCUGAUCAAGGAGGCGGAGGAGUAGGGGCGUGCCCAGCCGGCAGCCCUGUCCUGCUCGUGGGGGAGGGGCGGGAGGGGUCUGCUCCUCUGCUUCCAUUGCGACCGCGGCAGGAUCUAUGCUAUAAGGACCUGGAGCAUCUAUUCUGAAAUCAUAGCUACAAGUUUUUGUUGUCGAUGGUGCCAUGGUGGUGCACAAUGUCUUUGGACUUCUCUGAGCUGAAGGUUCAUUCAAGAUUAACCAAUGAUUCAUAUGCCCUUCAUUCAUGUUUCGUCGUGAGCUCCAGGACGAAGAAGUCGGGAGAAACAUAGAGUUCUAGCUUAUUGCAGCUAGUUAUACUUCGAUAGCUAGUUUUUUUUUUAAUUUUUUAGUUGUGUUACCUGAUGUGAG